AAAUAAUGGGGUACACUAGAGAAACACACACAUACACAACGGUAGACCGGCGAUGGGAAUAGGAACAUGUGUCGAUGUCGUCCCUUUUGUUCGUGGCAAAUAAAACGUUCGACGCCAUACAACGGUGGAGGGCCCCUCUAGGCACCGAAAGUAGUCGAUCGAAACGCGAUCGAACGCGACGGUUAGCGAACGAUCGUUAGCACCGUUCGAUUGCGGUUCGAUACAGCGUAACCCUGUCGGUGUAUGAGUGAGUUCUAGUUCCCGUUGGAUUUUUACCAGAUUACCUCACACUUGUAAUUAACAAAGAAGAAGAAUGAAUUCUAAGGCGUCACUCACAGCAUAAAAAGUGUGGAAACCACAAGAGGAAGCUGCACACAGAUGACAGCUGGUCUCGGCCGCGUGUAAUCGGCUGAGUGCAGAGUGUCGCAUCUGUUGAAUGCCAACAUCAUCGAUUCGUUCCUGAGGGUAUGAUGCGCAAGCGUUACUUUACCCUUCGGAGCGAGUACCUCAUCGAAAAUACAUUGCACCGUUCAAGCUAAUAGAGCGUCCGCUAUUUCGAUGAAGUAAAGAUGGGGGCUGUCUCUGCUCACGAAGACGCCUGUUGCAUUCCGAACCAUCCCCGAGCGGAACUCAGCGUUCUUGUUCUACGGAGGCGUUCUCAUCUUAUUUUCUCAUCUCACCCAUGCUCAUCCUCACCGCGUGGCCCAGUAUAUGGAGGCGCCUGGUGUUUUACGAUGUGGAACGCAUGGUGCUUUUCGGCGCGCCACGAUUAAAUGCACACGUGCUGCGUUUUGUUUAUGGCCGGCGGUACGUAUUUGCUUUUAUUAGAUGAUUUGAUACUUUUCAGCGUCGACCGUUGGCAGUGUUUAUUUAGAGUGCUUAAAUCGAUCAGGUGGAUGUGUUUAUGUU